rnacentral:rRNA from 1 species
UACAGGGGGUGCAAACGUUGCUCGGAAUCAUUGGGCGUAAAGCGCACGUAGGCGGUUUGUUAUGUCGGAUGUGAAAGCCCUUGGCUCAACUGAGGAAGUGCAUCCGAAACUGGCAAGCUAGAGUACUAAAGAGGGUCGCGGAAUUCCCGGUGUAGAGGUGAAAUUCGUAGAUAUCGGGAGGAACACCGGUGGCGAAGGCGGCGGCCUGGGUAGAUACUGACGCUGAGGUGCGAAAGCGUGGGGAGCAAACAGG